rnacentral:rRNA from 1 species
UUUCUUUCACCGGAGCUUGCUCCACCGAAAGAAAAGGAGUGGCGAACGGGUGAGUAACACGUGGGUAACCUGCCCAUCAGAAGGGGAUAACACUUGGAAACAGGUGCUAAUACCGUAUAACAAUCGAAACCGCAUGGUUUCGGUUUGAAAGGCGCUUUUGCGUCACUGAUGGAUGGACCCGCGGUGCAUUAGCUAGUUGGUGAGGUAACGGCUCACCAAGGCAACGAUGCAUAGCCGACCUGAGAGGGUGAUCGGCCACAUUGGGACUGAGACACGGCCCAAACUCCUACGGGAGGCAGCAGUAGGGAAUCUUCGGCAAUGGACGCAAGUCUGACCGAGCAACGCCGCGUGAGUGAAGAAGGUUUUCGGAUCGUAAAACUCUGUUGUUAGAGAAGAACAAGGAUGAGAGUAAAAUGUUCAUCCCUUGACGGUAUCUAACCAGAAAGCCACGGCUAACUACGUGCCAGCAGCCGCGGUAAUACGUAGGUGGCAAGCGUUGUCCGGAUUUAUUGGGCGUAAAGCGAGCGCAGGCGGUUUCUUAAGUCUGAUGUGAAAGCCCCCGGCUCAACCGGGGAGGGUCAUUGGAAACUGGGGAACUUGAGUGCAGAAGAGGAGAGUGGAAUUCCAUGUGUAGCGGUGAAAUGCGUAGAUAUAUGGAGGAACACCAGUGGCGAAGGCGGCUCUCUGGUCUGUAACUGACGCUGAAG